rnacentral:piRNA from 1 species
UGUGAGACCUACGAGUACCCACAGCGUG